rnacentral:rRNA from 1 species
CUAAGGCUCCAGAGGAAGCCACGGCUAACUCUGUGCCAGCAGCCGCGGUAAUACAGAGGCGGCAAGCGUUGUUCGGAAUUAUUGGGCGUAAAGAGCACGUAGGCGGCCUUGCAAGUCAGUUGUGAAAGCCUUCCGCUUAACGGAAGAAUGCCAGCUGAUACUACAGGGCUUGAGUACGGGAGGGGAGAGUGGAACUUCUGGUGGAGCGGUGAAAUGCGUAGACAUCAGAAGGAACGCCGGCGGCGAAAGCGACUCUCUGGCCCGAAACUGACGCUGAGUGUGCGAAAGCUAGGGGAGCAAACGGGAUUAGAUACCCCGGUAGUCCUAGCCGUAAA